GAUGAAGAACGCAGUGAAAUGCGAUAAGUAAUGCGAAUUGCAGAAUUCAGUGAAUCAUCGAAUCUUUGAACGCACAUUGCGCCCGCCAGUAUUCUGGCGGGCAUGCCUGUUCGAGCGUCAUUUCAACCAUCAAGCCCUGCUUGCGUUGGGGUCCUGCGGCUGCCCGCAGGCCCUGAAAACCAGUGGCGGGCUCGCUAGUCACACCGAGCGCAGUAAUACAUCUCGCUUUGGGCGUGCGGCGGGUUCUUGCCGUUAAACACCCCCUUUUUACCAAGGUUGACCUCGGAUCAGGUAGGAAUACCCGCUGAACUUAAGCAUAUCAAUAAGCGGAGGA
rnacentral:misc_RNA from 1 species